GUCUUGCUCUGCCUCCUCCCGCACCAAACGUGGGCGUCCGGUGGCGGCGAGCGCGUGAACAAACGGGUGGCAGCUAUGAGGGUUAGUGACAGAUCUGCCAAAGAGCACCAUGCGGGCCACCGACGACCGCGGAGCCAGUGAAUUUCCUGUCGCGAGCCCCGUGCGGUCACCGGCUUGCCGCUGAGAGCUCUGGGAAAUGUAGUUAGGCGCGAGCAGCAGCCGUUAGCUGUGGGUCUGCAGCCGGCACCGCGGCUCCGCCGCUGCCUGCGGCUCGGAUCGUCCUCCCACGUCCACAGUUCAGGAAGCUUCUGGAACACACGACCCCUCUGCAAUGGAAGCAAGAUCUGCAUCCCCAGCUUCAGACGUGUUCUUGGAGCCCUGACCAAAGAGUUCACCUCAAACUGGGAACCUUCUGAAAGCUACCCGCGAGGGACCUCAAGUAGAACCUCUGGAGAAGCCGUGCAGCACCCAUGCCAAACAAUACCACAGCGCGUUCAGGGACCCUCCACUGGCUUCAGGAUCUCGUGGAGGAAAAACUAAGCCAUGUCAUUUCCAGGAAAAGGGCUCCAGACAGGACGGAAGAGGGAAGAGCCAUCCAGAUCUAACAUUUGAAGGUGAGCCACAUCUUGUCCUUUGCGUUCUCCAUGGAGCCUUCAAGGACGGUGCUGGGGCUUGGUAGCUGUGUCGCUAUGGACACUGUGGCAUAAGGAGAGGGCUCUGGCCAUUGGCCUUGGAAGAUGAAGCUCGCCUUUUCCAGAUGGUUUCCUUUCUUUCCCUUCAAAGUUGCACGGGGAGGAAGGGAAUUUCUUAUUGCUCCCUCUUCCACCCCACCACCCCACUCACCAGGCCCUGAAGAUCCCCCCAUGAAGUGACAGGAGCCCCAUUGCCUCCCCUCUCCCAAGGAGACCUCACUGCUUAGUUGGCCUUGUGCUCAGACAAAGGAAUGACCUUGGGAAAGGACACUUGGUGUGUAAACAAGAACGGGCACUGGUGUGUCUGUUUACCACGGCCAGCUUGUGGGAGAAGCUGGCUCGGCUUCUUCUAUGACACCUAAGCAGACUGUUUAUGGCAGUAACACACACAGAAUUUUAGUGAAGGAGGGCACUGAGCUGCCCGGCCUCCAUCCCCGUGUGAAGGUCACUCCCUUCCUUUCAGUAUACAGUUGAGAUCGGGGUCUAUCCUUGUUGGUUGUAGAAAAUCUCUUGUGUCAUGGAUGGAAAGGGGGGGUGGCAAAUGUCUCUAAACCCAAGUUCGCAUAUCGCCACUGCUCCCUUCUAACCUUUUAAAGCGAGUACCUUAGGGGUGGGGGUGUAGUUCAAUUGGUAGGGUGCACGCUUAGUGGGCCCAAAGCCCUGGGCUCCUUUUCUCGUGUUCCCAGCACUUAGGGACGUGUGGACAGGCCACACACAGACCCGUUGGUCUCCAGUAUUCCAUGCUCCUGUCCUGGAAGCGCACUGCUAGAAUGUAAUUUGUACUAAGUCUCUAGAACAUUCUCUCUAGUAGCAUCUAUAAUGACUGUCCCAAGGCCACUUCAAUAAGAAAUGGCACCGGUGGGUAGAGGAGGAGACAGAAGUAGAGGAAAUUUAAGCUCGGCUCUUGAAGGAACGAAGGCCUGAAGUGAGAGUGUACCCUAACCCAGGCACCCCAGAGAGCUCUGAAGCCUGCCCUAGGAACCUGCUUCUAGGAACCUGCUCAAGACAGAUGCCCCCUGGCUGAUCUUGGCAGCACACACACACCAGGUGUCUCAGCAACAAGGCAUUCUCAAGAGUUCCAAGUCAUCCUUGGCCUCGGUGCUUGAAGCCUGCCUGGGUGACAUACUUGAAAUCCUUUUUUUUUUGGGGGGGGGGGGGUUGAGGCAGGGUUUCUCUGUAGCUUUGGUGCCUGUCCCGGAACUAACUCUUGUAGGGUGGCCUCGAACUCCCAGAGAUCCGCCUGCCUCUGCCUCCCAAGUGCUGGGAUUAAAGGCGUGCACCACCACCGCCCGGCCUUGAAAUCCUUUCUGAAGAAUAAUUUAGUGUCCUGCUGGAUUCCCCUUCACCCUAUUUCCCAUUCUGAGAUCACCAGCAGGGCUCCCGGCCAAUCUUGAGGUCCCUGACUCCCCCGACACACUAUUGUUUUGUGGUUUUAUUUGUUUGUUUUUUGAGACAGGGUUUUCUCUGUAGCUUUGAAGCCUGUCCUGGAACUCGCUCUGUAGACCAGGCUGGCCUCGAACUCCCAGAGAUCCACCUGCCUCUACUUCUGAAGUCUGUGAGAGAUGCUCUCUUUCUUCUCUUUGUUUCCAAGCACUGUAGAUAGAGUGAGAGACGCUCUGAACAGUACCUAACCUAUCAGUGCUCAGUGACCUGGGAGUCCGUGCGGUGGCUCGUUUACUCUUCUCAAUCAACAAUUCCUAGGACUAAGUCUUUGGGCCAUGUGACAGCUGAGGGAAGCAGGCGUGGGGCUGUCUCAUCUCUCAAAGCCUCACAGCUCCUGGGUAAAGGAGCCCGGUGACUGCCCGGACAGUCCCCGUGUUGGUUGCAGGAGUUUCUGUUUCGUUCACUGGAAUAAGUAGCCCGCUUCCAGGACUCUGGCCUGUUUCUACAAUCUCAUCUUCAGCCUACCCAAACCUGCCCAAUCCUUUGCAGAAAACCAUCUGCUUCCCAUUGAGAGACACAAGCUCCCAACCAGCAGCAGACACUAACUGAUCUGGGUGGAAACUGAAGGAUUCUUGAGUUGGGGCAGAUUCAGAAGCCUCUGGUUAAGCCCUCGACUCUACAAAUCAGGCAUUGUUAGGGUUGAUCUUUGCUCCACUGGGAUCUCCCUGGAUUGGCUGGAGAUCAUGGACACGUCCAGGUAGGGCUCUGUGUCUGGAGCCUCUGCUAUGUCUUCCCUUUGGGUUCAUCUUCUCCCUGUGCUCUCUCACCUGGGGCUGGGAUGCCGGAAAGGGCUUUGGCGGGCAGGUGCCUGGUGCCUCUACCUUUUUUAUGUGUCCACUCUCUUCCUCUUGUGCUGUCUGGGCUGUCGGAGCCCACGCUAGGACUAUCCCUCUCCACUGCGCUCCACUUUACCUGGCCUCUCUCUAGCCAGUACCACCUAAGGCAGUCAUAUACGAAAAGAUUCUGCCUCUGUGCAUGAGUUCUCGUCUUUGGACCAGAAUCUAAUGCAGGCUGGUCAGCAACUUUUAAAGUCAUUUGACUGAAAAAUGGAAGGAAAUGCAGUCAGGCCAGUUAGGUUUUUUUUUUGGAAUCUGAACCUGAAGUCUGAUUCAUGGACAGUAUGUAACAAGAUGUUAUGAUGGUCAGUAGUAGGACUUUGAUGGGCUAAUGUUCUGGCCACAAUCACAAUGGAGAAAGUUAGUGAGGAAAUAGGAAACAAAUCUGUGAUAUGGGGAAGAUCCACUUCCUGUGGAACAAAGGAAAAGGAGAGAACGCUCAAAGCCGGCCAUGACUAGUGAGCCGCCCGCCUCACUGCCCUGUGCCCCACCAGGCUCAUCCUCGCCUGUCUGUGUCACUGGAGCAAGCUCGUGUUGUUUGCUUUUGCUGUUGAUUGACUUAGAAGUGGCCGUGCGAUUCAGUUCUCCUGAUAGACUUACGGGGAGACCAGGAUAAGAUGAGAGAAGGAAGCUGUGGUCCCUGACGACACUGUUGAGCCACCACACCUGCCUGCCUUAGGAGACUGCCGUCCCCUGAGUCCCGUGCUGCCCCCGUGGCCUGGAACAUUCCUCAGCUCUUCACAGAACUUCGCGGCCUCCCUGCCCCUCAUUGCUGCUCUGUGGGCCUCUCUGACCGGAGGAAGCAACCCCAGCUGCUUUUCUUCCUAAAUGUUGGGAGAAAUCCGGCUCAGACGGUAGGAAAUCAACAGGAACAAACCAACCUCCGCGAUCAGUCAUAACCCUUCAGGCUUACUGGACAAGACCAGGAAGGAGAAAUAGUUCUGGAAAUUUCCAUAUGCAUGAGUCCAAGUCUUCUCAGACAGGGCUGAGGCAUAACUUUUUAGAAGGAAAAAAAAAAAAAGACACUGGGGGGGGGGCAGUAGUGGGUGUUAGUGCCCGAGACCCAGAGCCUACAGAGUGAGAAGUCAGAAUAGACCGGGUGAGUGACCUCUGAAGGCAGUGUCGGUAUCUACAGCUGGCUGUUGUUAGCAGUGCACAGGAGCGCGGGAGCAGUUUGUGGCACCUGUUUGCCAGCAGGUGCAAAGGCCGUGGUCAGGAGCCAGCCCGAGUGUUUUCAGAUGGUCCUCUUGGGAGGAACAGGGCCACCCAGUGCCUGCUGCCUUCCUCUAUGCUCGGGCAUGUGCCACCUUCACCCCUCACCUCUUGUCUCUCGCUCCCUUUUGUUCAAGUGAUGAAGGCAGGAGCCAGGAGUGCGAGCCACCAACCUGCAUCCCUUUCACGCAGCUAAGCCCUGGGAGAUGGGGAGGCUGGGGGUGUGGUUCGGUUGGCAGGGUGCUUGCCUAGCUGGCACAAAGCCCUGACUUUGAUCCCCAGCACCGCAUAAACUAGGCAUGGCUGUACGGGCUUGCAAUCCUACCCCUUGGGAGUGGAGACAGGAGAAGCUGGAUUCAAGGCCUGGCCGCUCCCCCUCCCCCUUGAAACCGUGCUUUCUAAGUGAAAGGGCCAGGCUUCUGGUGCCUGAUUUGAAGCUGACAAACACCCCUUGCCCCGUUACAAGGAGACUCUCUCUGGGGCGUCAGCGAGAAGCUGUGACACAGACCGACAGCAGCCCUCGGGGCGUGCCUUGUGCACCCCAGGGAGUGCGUGGAGCCAAAGGCGGAGGCCAGGAGCUCACAGUUGUCUAGUGUAGACUUCCUUCGCUCCACGAGAAUAGACUAAAACCAGCCAAGUGAAUCUCAGCUUGUAAAAGGGACAGGGAAGGUGAGUCACACAGAGGGAAAGACACUCCUGUGCGGCAGAAAAGGAGCAAACGCUUGGGCUGGGAGUGAAAAGGCAAAAAAGAAACGUUUAAAUGUGUCCCCCUCCCUGAUAAUUUUUUGUAUAGAUAGUACCAGAGAUUGAACCUUGGACCUCACACAUUCUGGAAAGUUUUCUUUCACUGAGCCACGCCCUGGCCCCUCACUGGGGGAUUCUAGGCAGGGGCUCUACUGCUAAGCCUCUUUUGACCUUUGAUUUUGAGACAAGGUCUUACUGAGUUGCCUGGGCUGGCCUGAAUCUCACUCUGUAGCCCAGGCUGGCCUUAGGCUCACUCACGUCCUUUCUCCUGCUUAGCCUGCUGAGUCACUGGGAUUAUAGAUUUGCCUCAAGACUGUAACAGACUCACCAAGCUAUUGCUGACACUUGGAACCCAAAGUCUCCCCCACUCCCAAACCCAGGAAGCCUCCCUAUAGAGAUCACAGCUUUGUAUUCUCUUAUAUCCAAUAAAGGGAAGCAUCAGCUUUCCCUGCUUCUUCACACAAGGGCUUCAUGCCAUGAGGUGAUGUGGUUAAGCCCCCCACCACCAACCUUUAUGGGUGCCAUUUCAUUCCUGUGCAUUCUCUGAUGAGAAGCCCAGGGCCAUCCCUGCACGCCAAUUCCUCUUGCAGCUUCCUCUCUAAGCAAACAGCCACCCUGAACACCCCCCCCCCAGCUUCUCCUAAGGGCAUUGUCAUAGCCCUUAGUUGUGACUGAUUUAGGGUUCAGAUGACUUAGCUGAUAGUGUCUGACAUGAAGUAGCCUGCACAGUCUGUAGGUUAGGAUUCUGACAAAGGCUCUUCACCACCCAUUAUCCUCCAGGGUCUCUGUCUGCUACACAGUCCCUGCUGUCUGAUUAGCUCCGAAGUACUAGGGAGAGGGGUUGAUUGACACACCUUCGCUAGCAUAGGGCUUUCCCCCAGUGUGAAUUCUCUGACGUUGAAAGAGUUUCCUGAUCUUGAAAGCCUUCAGGCGGUCACUGUGGUGGGUCUCUGUUGAGUGGAAAGGAGCGAGGGUGCAUGGGGGAUGCUGACUGACGCCUCCCACAUCCCCAGGAUGCUCUCCAAGGUAGAUGGAUGUUUGGAAGGUUGGGAGCCUCCAGGAAAACUGUUUUGUGUUUGCGACAGUCUCUGCUGUUCCCGCCAGUGCCGGCACUGUAAUACUGAAUAAACUCGAUCCAGACAUGA